rnacentral:rRNA from 1 species
GCAUAUCAAUAAGCGGAGGAAAAGAAACCAACAGGGAUUGCCCUAGUAACGGCGAGUGAAGCGGCAACAGCUCAAAUUUGAAAUCUGGCUUCGGCCCGAGUUGUAAUUUGCAGAGGAUGUUUUUGGCGCGGUGCCUUCCGAGUUCCCUGGAACGGGACGCCACAGAGGGUGAGAGCCCCGUAUGGUUGGACACUAAGCCUGUGUAAAACUCCUUCGACGAGUCGAGUAGUUUGGGAAUGCUGCUCUAAAUGGGAGGUAAAUCUCUUCUAAAGCUAAAUACCGGCCAGAGACCGAUAGCGCACAAGUAGAGUGAUCGAAAGAUGAAAAGCACCUUGAAAAGGGGGUUAAACAGUACGUGAAAUUGUUGAAAGGGAAGCGCUUAUGACCAGACUUGUGCCGUGCGGCUCAUCCGGGGUUCUCCCCGGUGCACUCCGCACGGCUCAGGCCAGCAUCGGUUUUCGUUGGGGGAUAAGAACUGUAGGAACGUGGCCCCUUUCGGGGGGUGUUAUAGCCUAUGGUACGAUACCCUGGCGGGGACCGAGGACCGCGCUUCGGCAAGGAUGCUGGCGUAAUGGUCAUUAGCGACCCGUCUUGAAACACGGACCAAGGAGUCGUCCAUUAGAGCGAGCGUUUGGGUGUAAAACCCGCACGCGUAAUGAAAGUGAAAUUAGGUGAGAGCUUCGGCGCAUCAUCGACCGAUCCUGAUGUUCUCGGAAGGAUUUGAGUAAGAGUUUUAACGGACGGACCCGAAAGACAGUGAACUAUGCUUGUAUAGGGUGAAGCCAGAGGAAACUCUGGUGGAGGCUCGCAGCGGUUCUGACGUGCAAAUCGAUCGUCAAAUAUGAGCAUGGGGGCGAAAGACUAAUCGAACUGUCUAGUAGCUGGUUACCGCCGA